rnacentral:rRNA from 1 species
GAUGAACGCUGGCGGCGUGCCUAAUACAUGCAAGUCGAGCGAGCAGACGAGGAGCUUGCUCCUCUGACGUUAGCGGCGGACGGGUGAGUAACACGUGGAUAACCUACCUAUAAGACUGGGAUAACUUCGGGAAACCGGAGCUAAUACCGGAUAAUAUAUUGAACCGCAUGGUUCAAUAGUGAAAGACGGUUUUGCUGUCACUUAUAGAUGGAUCCGCGCCGCAUUAGCUAGUUGGUAAGGUAACGGCUUACCAAGGCAACGAUGCGUAGCCGACCUGAGAGGGUGAUCGGCCACACUGGAACUGAGACACGGUCCAGACUCCUACGGGAGGCAGCAGUAGGGAAUCCUCCGCAAUGGGCGAAAGCCUGACGGAGCAACGCCGCGUGAGUGAUGAAGGUCUUCGGAUCGUAAAACUCUGUUAUUAGGGAAGAACAAAUGUGUAAGUAACUAUGCACGUCUUGACGGUACCUAAUCAGAAAGCCACGGCUAACUACGUG